rnacentral:misc_RNA from 1 species
GAUUGGGACGAAGUCGUAACAAGGUAGCCGUACCGGAAGGUGCGGCUGGAUCACCUCCUUUCUAAGGAGCACCACGAGAACCUGGCCCGCCCACAUCGUGUGGGAGUUCGGUGACCUUGGUCGAUUCGUUGGAUGGCCUUCGCCUGUAGUGGGUGGGGGUCUGGUGCAACAACAAACAAACUUUAUGACCGCCAGACACACUAUUGGGCUUUGAGACAACAGGCCCAGCGGGACCUUCGCUCUACGGAGAAGGGGGUUGCCGGCCGUGCGUGCCCCGUUGGGGGUCAGGCGGUUGCUGUUGUCGCCCUGCUUUGGUGGUGGGGUGUGGUGUUUGAUUUGUGGAUAGUGGUUGCGAGCAUCUAGCACGCAAGAAUAGGGUCCUCUGCGGAGGGCGUGCGUGGUUGUCGUGUGUGUUUGAGUGUGCGUGUCGUUUGUUGUGCUGUUUGCAUUGGUUCUUUUGUGUUGUAACGUGUUUAAGGGCGCAUGGUGGAUGCCUUGGCAUGAGCGAGCCGAUGAAGGACGUGGGAGGCU